rnacentral:rRNA from 1 species
UACGAAGGGGGCUAGCGUUGUUCGGAUUUACUGGGCGUAAAGCGCACGUAGGCGGAUCGUUAAGUCGGGGGUGAAAUCCUGGAGCUCAACUCCAGAACUGCCUUCGAUACUGGCGAUCUUGAGUCCGGAAGAGGUGAGUGGAACUCCUAGUGUAGAGGUGGAAUUCGUAGAUAUUAGGAAGAACACCAGUGGCGAAGGCGGCUCACUGGUCCGGUACUGGACGCUGAGGUGCGAAAGCGUGGGGAGCAAACAGG